AAAAUUUCCACUUUUUUCCAUGCAUUACACUCAACCUUUCAAAUGCCAUCAAAACUCAAAGCUUCGCAUCAAAAAAAGUUGUUGAACUUGAUCGAACCGAGUGCAGAGCCCAGAGGCACGCAGCUCCUCGGGGGAAGCAGCUGGUGAAGUUGAGAGUGCUGGAGGACUCACAUGGCUAACCUCAGUGUACUCGCUCUCUCUCCUCACCUCAGCCCUGCUGCCAGCUCUCUAGCCAAGCGAGACAGAUCUCUCCCAGCAAACGCUAGUAGAGGGAAAAUGGGAGAAAAACAAAGAUCGGGGGUAACAUAAGAGGGAUUCGAUGAAUGGGAUAAGACAGCAUUUUAAGAUGGUGGGAGAGGAACUUUGAGAUAAGACUCGAGACAAAUUGAGCACAUACCUGUAUCGUGUAUCAUGAGCAACAAAAAGGACAGACAAAGGAAUAUAUUACAUUGCUGCUUAUUGCGUCACAGUUUUUGGACGGGGGAGGUGGAAGGCUUUUGAUAUUUCAGAAUGGACACAGCACGAGACAAUCCAUUUCACAUUAGAUGCAACAAGCCUGUUUUCACCUCGCUGGCUUCCUCUCUUAGUAGGGUAGCAUUGCGCGUCUUAGGAAGACCCGGUGAAUAGUAAUGAACUAAGCUUGUGUGUCUAUUUGACAGAGCAGAAGAAGGGGGAGAGGUGGGGGCUGUGCAGUGUGUGUGUGUGUUGCAGGGAGAGCUGUGAGAAUAAGGCAGAGGGAUGCAGAGGAGAAUGGAGACAGCCUUCCCAUUCCUCCACUCCUCCCCUCUCACUUCUGCUUUUCCCUGACAGAGGGAAAGGAGUUCUGAAGAUGUACUACUGAAUUCUUAUGUAAUCUCAUUUUUUUUGUCCUCUCUCCCUUCAGUUUAUUGACAGGGAUCUGCCAGGUUUCUGUGAAAAGCGGCAUUGAGAAGAGAAGAGUUGUGAAGAUGUUCUACUGAAUUAUUUGUGAUUUCUCAGGUUUCUCAGUGAAGAAAUGCCGGAUUUCUGUAAAAAGAGACAUUUCAGAGAUUCUAGUUUGAAGAAAGAGAGAAAAACAGACUGAAUUCACCUCAGGGAGGCAGAGCACCUUCACGGAGACCCUGACUGCUCUGUGUUCCUCUAUCCACCUAAAGGGGCACCAGGAAAGAAAAGAGUAUGGAAGAAAACAUCAAAUUUGAGCAGAUCAAACCAGUGGAGUAUGAGGAGUGCAGCAUCCGGUGUCUGUGUAACUCAAAUAGCAGUUGAAGAGGGGGACACAUACAAUAGAUCUCCCCCUCCCUGUACGUGCUCUCCAUCUAAGAGGCAACGGCUCAGUGCCAAAACUGAAGCACAAGGACUCAUUGAAGAAAGCUCUCUUGGUCCCAUUUUUCUCGCUUCCUUAAGCAGUUGGUUGCCCAUUCCCCCGUCCUCAGUCUGCUUUCAUGGGAUGUGACUUCGAUAGUGAUUUGGCAGCGAGUCAGAGUUAACAGCCAAUCAGAGAGAUCGUAAGAGCCUCUAAACGGACUGUUUUGCUGUGUUGCACUGGCUUGACAUAAUGAUCAUUAGUGCAUGCGUCUGUUAUAAUGUGAGUAAUUAGAGUUACGUCUAAUGCAUAAACCUGAAACACUUCAUUUAACUCUGUGUUGUCUCUGGCCUGAGUAAGACACAUAUAUUUCAUUAUCCCUUUCCUGAGGCUGAAUUAUAUUGCAUGUGAAACAAGCCUGUCAGAUUACAUUUGUAUUUAUAUUUCUGUCACACAGGUUUUACUUGACAACAUUUUAAUUGGCUAGGUUUGCUGCUUGAUUAAAGCUGUCACAUACAAGAUAUAAAAACAGAGCUGUGAUACUAUUAGUGCAGUUGUUACUGUUGCCAUUAGCAAUUCUAUUUGAAUUAGUGUCCCUGAAUAAGCAUCAGAAAGGGGGCGACAUCCUCGACUGCCAGAGACUUAAUGAGCUCACACAUGCACAUUGUUGCUCGUAUCAGUGUAGGUAUGGAGUAUGUGCUCGAUAUUCAAAAUAUAAAUCACCACCCUAAUGAUUGAGAACCAUAAGUUCUUAGGUUCUCAUUUAGCUUUAAUAACCUUGUUUCUGGUCUUGUUUCUUAUUAUUAGUGAUUUUAAGUGAUUUUAGUACCUUAACUUAAACUUAUUUUAUUUUAUUUAGUUGCCAGAGUCACAUUUCUAAUAUUCAUGUAAGAUUUUUUCAUCUAAUAUUUAGGUUACUUUAUGUAAGCAUACAGCCAUUACUGAAAAUUAUUUGAAUAGUUUUAGUUAAAAAUAACAACAUUCUGAAUCAUUUACAGAUGUUACAUUCACAGAUAAGUUACCAUCAACAUACAUACAGUAAAUACAUUCAUUCAAAUGUCACCAAAAACUACUGAUAUUAUUUAAAUUCCCAUUUUUCUGUGGGAAUUUGCAUGGCUGAGUUAACACAUUCCCUCUUCACCCAAUGUUAUUAAAGCGUAUUUUCUGCAAAAAGCAAUUUAUAGCUCAUAUGCUCCAUAUAAUACGCUGUUCAUAAUACGAAGAAAAUUAGGGCAUUUCUGAAGCUAAAAUUCGCAAUUGUUAGCUUAUGUUCCUCCAGUUAUCAAUCUGUUCUAGUUUAUUUGGAGGGACAUAUUCAUCAUACCCAGAGAGGGAUUUCUAUUCGCAGUGUAUUAUUCUCAGAUAAUGAGGUAGGAUGAUAUGCAAUGGCAGUAUGUGAAUAUUGUUUGUGAUGUGUUGUCAUGACACACACAGGUGUCUUUUUCCCAUUCUGACCGCACUGUGUUGUCAGAAUACAUUAAGCUAGGAAUAUAAAUGUUAAUCAAAUAUUAAUCAGCUCUGAUACACAGCGGAAUUGAUGACAUGUGUAGACUCUCUAUAAUCAGCUCUUUGCCAGAUAUUUAUGAGGAUGAAUGGGCAGAGAGACGACCAGUGUAUAAUUAUUGCCAAAGAGAGAGAGAGGCAGAGAGAGAUGCAACCAUCAAAAUUGACAGUCUGCAACACAGAAUAUGAGACUCACAGAAAAUAAGCAACUGCAUUAUUCUGAACUAAUAAAUGUUGUGAAAAUGUGAUGCAAGCAUUCAUAUAGGCCUACAUUUGAUUUGCCAGCAUCUUUAGUCUUUUCCAGAACUAACUUAAUUGUCGCAGAUAUUGACAACCAUGCUGAUUUUCAGACCCUUCAGCACAAAUGCAAGUCUGACAUAGCAGUUGAAUAAACAAUAAGAAAGUAUUAAAUAAUUUACAUUUUAGACACUGUUUAGUUUGUCUGUAUUUUGCUCUGCCAAAAUAGCUUCAAAAAAGCAAUGAAUCAAUCAUGUGAGUGAAUGAUUCAAUGACUCACUUACUAAAUGACUCACUUACUGUGGGGAAGUCGUGGCCUAAUGGUUAGAGAGUCUGACUCCCAAUC